GUAAUAAGUAUUCUCUUCCAGCAGCAGCCACCAUACUUUUAAACUUUGAAAUUCAACAACAACGUAGGAUCUUUUAAUUAACGGAUGUCAUUUUGUACACACUGGCAGCGUAUUAUAAUCAGGUAUUAUCUGUGAGGAUCUAGUGGAUGUUAGCUCAAAGCUAAUAAUAUAUCACUGCAAUUUACGACUUUACAUGACACUUGUCCCGCCUGAAAUCUCAAGCACUUUGCAAACAUUAAUUAAGCCCACAAACACCCUAGAAGUGA